GCUACGGGUGGCUGCCGUGAGGAAUAUUGGUCAAUGGACGAGAGUCUGAACCAGCCACGUAGCGUGAAGGAUGACUGCCCUAUGGGUUGUAAACUUCUUUUAUAUGGGAAUAAAACAGGAUAUGCAUACCCUCUUGUAUGUACCAUAUGAAUAAGGAUCGGCUAACUCCGUGCCAGCAGCCGCGGUAAUACUGCGGCUCCGAGCGUUGUCCGGAUUUAUGUGGUUUAAAGUGAGAGUAGGAGGAUUUGUAAGGCAGUUGGGAAAGGUUGCGGCUCAACCGUAGAAAUGCAGGUGAAACUGGCAGUCUUGAGUACAGGAGAGGGGAGCGGAAUUCGUGGUGGAGCGGUGAAAUGCGUAGAUAUCGCGAGGAACUCCGGUUGCGAAGGCAGGUCACUGGACUGCAACUGACACUGAUGCUCGAAAGUGUGGGUAGCAAACAGGAUUAGAUACCCGAGUAGUC
rnacentral:rRNA from 1 species